rnacentral:rRNA from 1 species
UACGUAGGCAGCAAGCGUUGUUCGGAGUUACUGGGCGUAAAGGGUGUGUAGGCGGUUUGAUAAGUGGGGUGUGAAAUCUCCCGGCUCAACUGGGAGGGUGCGCCGGAUACUGAGGGGCUAGAGUGUGGGAGAGGAAAGUGGAAUUCCUGGUGUAGCGGUGAAAUGCGUAGAUAUCAGGAGGAACACCGGUGGUGUAAACGGCUUUCUGGACCAUAACUGACGCUGAGGCACGAAAGCGUGGGUAGCAAACAGG